rnacentral:lncRNA from 1 species
CAACUUUGCACGUUAGGAAGUUAAAUGCCAUGUAACUUUCCCCCAAAACACGCCUCUUCUUCUGGUAGGUAAACCCUAACCCCAAAUCGAUCCAUUGAAAAGUCCCCAAAUCAAAUACUCUCCAGACAAUUUCUAGAUCUGAAAUUGAAGAACAAAUCGUGGCCGGGGAGCUCGAAUUUGUAAAGUGCCAUUGGUGAAGCUGUUGACAUGGAUGGAAGAAACGGAGGUAAUUUCGAAUUUUUAUUUUCUAAAUACGCAUCAUUCACCUUCGUCGUCAGUGGCUUCGAUUUUUUAUUUUUCGGAAUAUGAUGAUAUUUGUCAGAUUGUUCCUUCGUCUUCAUCGUCUUCCAUUUUCAAAAUAUACUGUUGAGAUGAUCCAUUUCGUGUAUCAUUUUUAUUUGGUGAGUAGCCCAUGAACAUUGUAUUUAUUCAAAUUGAUUUACCUUGAGCAAAUUUUGAUUUUAGUCAAAAAGGGAAAAUGAUAUUGAGACAUAGGGCGUGCUAUUGUUGUUCCUGUUGCUUGAUAUGAGUUGUUUCCUGUUGAGAAUUCUGUUACGCUUCAUAUUUGAAUCGAUCAGAGUGGCCACGUGGAGGCAUUAUACACAGACAUCUGGCAGUCAGCGAACUCAAAGAGAGGGAACAAGCUGCUCUUUGGCCAAGGUGCUAUCCUUUCCCGAAGUUCUUUGUCGAAGCACUUCCUCAUAAAGCUGAACCUCUUCACAUUCGACGCUCCCUCUCUUGAGGCCAAAGUGCUCGCUGCCUUUAAAGUAGGUCUGAAGAGCAUCUUUAUGGAUGAUUGAUAAAACAUUUGUAUUAAUGCAUGUCACAGAGCGAUUGACCCCUUGUCAAUGUAAUUAAUGUAUGGCUGAGAGUGAUUUAUGUCUCGAUCGUUGGAAUGAGGCCAUGCGUUUUUGAUCCAACAAUGAUCACGUCUUAGCUCUAUAAAUAGCAGCUCUUGUAACAAGUAAAGAGAUUGGGAAAAAAAUAUACACAAAUUUUGUACAUCUGAUACCAUAUCGACCUUCUACAUUGCUUAUUUGGCAUGAAUAUGCUCGAGCUUAGAUCAAUGCUACAUUGGCGGAAAUGCGUAUG